rnacentral:rRNA from 1 species
GAUGAACGCUGGCGGCGUGCCUAAUACGUGCAAGUUGAACGCUUCACUUCGGUGAAGAGUGGCGAACGGGUGAGUAAUACAUAAGUAACCUGGCAUCUACAGGGGGAUAACUGAUGGAAACGUCAGCUAAGACCGCAUAGGUGUAGAGAUCGCAUGAACUCUAUAUGAAAAGUGCUACGGGACUGGUAGAUGAUGGACUUAUGGCGCAUUAGCUGGUUGGUAGGGUAACGGCCUACCAAGGCGACGAUGCGUAGCCGACCUGAGAGGGUGACCGGCCACACUGGGACUGAGACACGGCCCAGACUCCUACGGGAGGCAGCAGUAGGGAAUUUUCGGCAAUGGGGGAAACCCUGACCGAGCAACGCCGCGUGAAGGAAGAAGUAAUUCGUUAUGUAAACCUCUGUCAUAGAGGAAGAACGGUGGAUAUAGGGAAUGAUAUCCAAGUGACGGUACUCUAUAAGAAGGCCACGGCUAACUACGUGCCAGCCGCCGCCGUAA